CUGCACCCUGGGGAAUUGGGGAACUCGCUGCCCAGGGGAGUCCAUCGCCCCAGCAGCUCUUUCCUUCCCCAGGCGGAGAAACCCCGUGGCGGGCAGCGCCGUCAGCAGGAGGAGCUGGAGGCGCUUCGGGCCCGGCUGGCACAGGCGGAGCAGGACAUGGAAACUGUGCUGUCCUGCGCACGGCAAAGGGAGGAGCAGCUCCGGG